rnacentral:rRNA from 1 species
CCUACGGGUGGCAGCAGUGAGGAAUCUUGGUCAAUGGGCGGGAGCCUGAACCAGCCAAGUCGCGUGAGGGAAGACGGUCCUAUGGAUUGUAAACCUCUUUAGUCGGGGAGCAAUGCCUGGCACGUGUGCCCGGAGGGAGAGUACCCGCAGAAUAAGCAUCGGCUAACUCCGUGCCAGCAGCCGCGGUAAUACGGAGGCUGCGAGCUUUAUCCGGAUUUAUUGGGUUUAAAGUGUGCGCAGGCGGAAGAUCAAGUCAGCGGUAAACUUGAGAGGCUCAACCUCUUCGAGCCGUUGAAACUGGUUUUCUUGAGUGAGUGAGAGGUAGGCGGAAUGCGUGGUGUAGCGGUGAAAUGCAUAGAUAGCACGCAGAACUCCGAUUGCGAAGGCAGCAUACCGGCGCUCAACUGACGCUCAUGCACGAAAGUGUGGGUAUCGAACAGGAUUAGAUACCCCGGUAGUC